UCUGUCUCAGAAAUAAAUUAACAAACAAAAAAAAAAAAAAUUGGAACAAUACAGAGAUUAGCAUGGCCCCUAUGCAAGGAUGGCACAAAUUCGCCAAGUAUUC